GAUGAAGAACGUAGCGAAAUGCGAUAAGUAAUGUGAAUUGCAGAAUUCAGUGAAUCAUCGAAUCUUUGAACGCACCUUGCGCCCUUUGGCCAUUCCGAAGGGCAUGCCUGUUUGAGUAUCAUGAACACCUCAACUCUUUAUGGUUUUCCAUGAUGAGCUUGGACUCUGGGGGUUUUGCUGGCUCACAGUCGGCUCCUCUAAAAUGAAUCAGCUUACCAGUGUUUGGUGGGUAUCAUGGGUGUGAUAACUAUCUACGCUUGUGGUUUUUCCACCAGGUAACCUUCAGCAGUGGAGGUUCGCUGGAGCUCAUAGAUGUCUCUCCUCAGUGAGGACAGCCCUUUGAAUGUUUGAUCUCAUAUCAGGUAGGACUACCCGCUGAACUUAAGCAUAUCAAUAAGCGGAGGA
rnacentral:misc_RNA from 1 species